UCUGCUUCUCCCACCAUGGGGGAAAAAGGCGGGAGAAGUCCCCGCAGGAUUGAAGCUGCUCCU
rnacentral:miRNA from 1 species